UUAAGUGUUUUACUCAGUUGAAUUGUAUUAAAUGCGUCAUUCGCUCUCUCAAAAAGUCACAUAAAAAAAAUAAUAAUAAUAAUUGACCGCGUAGUUUUUGAGUUAUGGCCAUAGCAACACCAUAGCAACGAGGGACGCGCCGUCCUGCCGACCCCUACCUCAUGACGUAACUUCCAGGAAGCCUCGCCACCACUCUGAACGCGGAAAUAUAGCACCACGCUAUCCUCGCCAUAUAUUGCAUACAUUUUCUGGGUUUUACUCGCGGGAUUCGUCAUGCCAUCUCGAUGUGUAGCGAUGAAUUACUCACAGGAAGAUUCGAGACUCUAGGAGUGGUCCCAAAAAAACUUCUCCUGCAAAGCCACGACAGCUUUGAAAACCUACAACAAUGCAACCUUGGUUUUGCAAAGACGAAGCCAAACAUAAAAAAUUAAGUGGCGGAAACCCUCAACACGAUGAAAAAAGCGUUGCAAGUCAGUUGCCACCCAGUUUCCCAAAAUCAAGAGAGAGUGGGUCGAGUCAUAUGAUGACCGAAGUGAUGCGGUGUCCAGCGAUGACGACUGAAGAGAUCCUAUGAGGCCUGCCAGAUGCUGAAUUUCUUCCGUCUGCGACAUCAGAUGACGAUGAUUUAGGAGAAAUAAAUGUAGCAAAUUUUGAUGACAUGAAAUCAUAAACUAGUCAUAUAUACAGUACACAUUUUUUAAAAGAAAAAUCAAGUUACCUUCAUAUUUUAAUGAUAAUGCAUUAUCUUUGUAUAGAGAACACUUCAUGCUACAGAAAAGAGUAAAUACAUAUACAUAAAUCUGGUAUCAUUUAUUAUUGUGGCCUAUUAAAUAUUUUUUCAGAAUGUAAUAUAAUUACAAUAUAUUAUAUACCAAUAGAAUACAUUAAACAGUCAACAAAAUGUGUC